rnacentral:rRNA from 1 species
AUUGAACGCUGGCGGCAGGCCUAACACAUGCAAGUCGAGCGGAUGAAGGGAGCUUGCUCCUGGAUUCAGCGGCGGACGGGUGAGUAAUGCCUAGGAAUCUGCCUAGUAGUGGGGGAUAACGUCCGGAAACGGGCGCUAAUACCGCAUACGUCCUGAGGGAGAAAGUGGGGGAUCUUCGGACCUCACGCUAUCAGAUGAGCCUAGGUCGGAUUAGCUAGUUGGUGGGGUAAAGGCCUACCAAGGCGACGAUCCGUAACUGGUCUGAGAGGAUGAUCAGUCACACUGGAACUGAGACACGGUCCAGACUCCUACGGGAGGCAGCAGUGGGGAAUAUUGGACAAUGGGCGAAAGCCUGAUCCAGCCAUGCCACGUGUGUGAAGAAGGUCUUCGGAUUGUAAAGCACUUUAAGUUGGGAGGAAGGGCAGUAAGUUAAUACCUUGCUGUUUUGACGUUACCAACAGAAUAAGCACCGGCUAACUUCGUG